CCAGUCAGUCCAUUCCAGUACCUAGCUUUCAUGUGAACCAUAUUGACCAACUGAAGUGAAACUGAGGAUUUUUCUGGAAAUAGGACUCACCUUCCUUUUUUGUUUCUGUUCUGGAUGUAAAGAGGAAGUGAACAGGUCUGGGAGGUAUUGAUAGUCUUUGAGAUGACCAGUGCAAAUGUUGGGGUGCCAAGAAUGAAAUCUUGGGAAAGUCAUGAUGUUGUGUGAACAGCCUUAUGGAGAGGACUAUAUGGUAAAACAAAUUGAAGCCUCCAUCAGAAGUCACAUGCGUGAACUUAGAAGUGAGUUCUCAGCCUCUAGAACUGCAGCCCUGGCUGACUUCACUGCAGUCAUAGGAGAUGCUGAACCACCCACCUAAGCCCUACCCUAAUAGCUGACCCUCAUAAACUUUAAGAUAAUACAUGUUUUUAACUUGUUACUAA